UAAAUACUACAGACUGACCGAUAGUGAACCAGUACCGAGAGGGAAAGGCGAAAAGAACCCCGGCGAGGGGAGUGAAAAAGAACCUGAAACCGUGUACGUACAAGCAGUGGGAGCACCUUCGGGUGUGACUGCGUACCUUUUGUAUAAUGGGUCAGCGACUUAUAUUCUGUAGCAAGGUUAACCGUAUAGGGGAGCCGCAGGGAAACCGAGUCUUAACUGGGCGUUAAGUUGCAGGGUAUAGACCCGAAACCCGGUGAUCUAGCCAUGGGCAGGUUGAAGGUUGGGUAACACUAACUGGAGGACCGAACCGACUAAUGUUGAAAAAUUAGCGGAUGACUUGUGGCUGGGGGUGAAAGGCCAAUCAAACCGGGAGAUAGCUGGUUCUCCCCGAAAGCUAUUUAGGUAGCGCC
rnacentral:rRNA from 1 species